CUUGCUCGAGUCAACACCCUGGUUAAGCUUCCCUGCUCCUGCUGCUUUUUGACCUAGCGCACAGACCUUAGCAAUGCUGCUUCUGAGGUGUUGCCUUGACCACUCCUAAAGGGGUGACCAAAACUUUGACCGAAUUUUGUAGUGACUUUCUGGUACCUGUUGAGGAGAGAAAGAUAAAGAUAGCGACACGAAGCUGGUCGAUACAAGCACAGCACAAAUUUGACAGCAGAAAUGGAGUUCAUGCUGCCUUCAAGAAAACUGGUGAUUCUCAAACUGUGUCAGAGGGGCAACGUGUCUUUAAAAAGAAGCAUGGAUUAUGUCUGACUCUAUCAUCAGUCCACCCAGCCUGCAUGUGUCCUCUGCUCUUUAUGGCUGAAAAUCAGAAGAGUCUGGAUUCCUCUCACUUCUUGGGUGGAAGAUCAGUCAUAUGACCAGCACUAAUCACCCCCAAGGCAGCAGUGCGUUUACUGCACAUGUAGCACUCCUGAAGGAACAUUUGGUCCUCCUGAGCCAAGAUGAAAGCUUGAUCCAACAAAUCCUUCUUGAAAUAUUGGGAAGAGUUGGGAACCUUCUUUCCCAGCAGCUUCCCCAAAAUACCAGCAUAGAAAGCAUCUCUAAAAUUCCUGUAGUAGCAACCAGCAUCACCAUUAAAAUUUCAGCAUGUCUGAAGAAAAUGAAGUGCACAAUUGGCAGUCUUCAUGCAAAGCAGCUUUUAGCUACGAGGAGCUUCCAUUACCACCUUCUCCCCUUGCACAAGGCAUGAGGAUACAACACAUUUGUGGCAGAGCAACAUGAGCACUCCCUCCCUCUGCAUGGCAUAGAUGGCUGAGCCCAUCAUCACUCACACACAAGUGUAUGCAGCUGGGGAAAACUGAGCCUGGACACUUCAGUCAUUGGAGGCAUUGGAAUGAGACAUUCUCAGCUUAUAUACUUCUUUUCAAGCCUGAGAAACUUCUCGCUCGAGGUAUUGAAAUCCUAGGAUGUGUGGUGUAUGAACUGUUGUCAGAAGGCUUCCUAGCUAAUGUUUGUGUCCAAUUUCUGGUGUAGAAGUGAGAAAUCAACACAUGAGAUUGUCAAAAUCCUAAACAUGUCAAUAGCAUUCACAGAAUACUGAACAUUUGCAUAGGUAUUUUUGCAGCUGGCCCCAGGGUAAGAUCCAGUUUUGUUCUGAGUAUCCCUUGAAUGCAUCAAAAAUGUCAAAUCCUCUGGACUAAAAAGACAGCUUAGAAAAUAUUGCUUCCUUCUCUGCUGUCACUGACCACACACUGAAUUUUAACUUAUUUUCACAGUGUUCUGCUUUGUGUGCCCCUUUACAGUGUAUUAACCUCCCUGUCACACCAACAUACUUCAUUGUCUAGCUACACUCAGCAGUCAGCCUCACCCUGCUUCAGGGAGCUGUUACCCUUCAUCUAACCAAUGUGUCCCAAAACCUAGAAGUCUCUCCUUGAUACUUUAUUCUGCCAGGAUGAUAGGAUUCCUGAAUGGC